rnacentral:lncRNA from 1 species
GGGUGGGGGUGGCAAAAAACAGCGAAAAGCAAUUCUUGUAAACUUAGUUAAAGCAUUCUCACCCUUUUAGAAUUUAAUUAGGGGACUUGUGCAUUAAUUACUAUUGUAAAUGGUUGCAGGCAUUGUGUGACUCAUGAUUGAGGCGGCCCUUAUGGCGGGCUGUCAAACUGUUUUGGCUUCCCCGUUAUUACUUUGUAACUCAAAUUGUUGCCUUUAUAAAAAGAUACUAUGUCUU